UUUUUUUUUUUUUUUCAAAGGAAAAAGCCUGUAAAUUUCAUUCUUAGAUAUAUCCCAGUCUAAGGAGAAGCAGAUCUUUGAACAUUCAAAACUUCCUCUACUUGGGACAUUGACAACAAAAGGAUAUACACCUCCAUAGUGCAUUAGAGACCUUAUAUUUUUUAUAAUCUAUAAAAGUGCAAUUAAACCCUUCAUGGUUUGUUUUGUUCAAUUGACUACAUAAGUUGUAUUUAUUGAGCUAUUAUAUAUAUAUAAAGGGUUCAAGAAAAAACAAAUCAUGAAAGGUUCAAUAGCAUAUUUGUGAUAAAUGUCAGAUCAUUUGGACUUGGAAUAAGGUUGUUAUACAGAAACUUGAGAAGUGUUAUUAAAGGUGCGCUUGAGGCACAAGGCGCAAGCCUUGACACGUCCUGAAGGCAAAGUCAGCGACCUUGAGGAGGUGACCCUAGAUGCACAUCUCACACCGUGCAUCGGGCAUGUUUCUCCCCACAAAUUUUUUUUUUAAUUGUAACAUAACACAGCCACACACAUAAAAUAAAUAAAGACAAGAAAAAAGAUGAUCUCUAUGUGUUACAAUCCAAAAAUAAAAAGAUUUUUUUUGUCUAGACCUAAUCCACCAUGAAUCCAAGACACAAAAUUUAUGGUGGGAUCCUCCUUUUAAAUGCAUAGGUUCUACAUAUUAGUGUCUAGGGUUCAUAAUAAAUCGGGUCUAUACAAAAAUUUCUCCAAAAAAACAAGUAAGAACCUGUGAAGAACUUGGACAUUUUUUUAUUGUUGCAUCCUGCUAGUGCAAUUGAACUAAACUAGGUAUGAGAGUUACCUUUUUCCUUUUUUCUUUCUUCCUUCACUCCUCUUUCUCCCCCAACCACCUGAUUUUCCUCUUUCUCUUCCUUUCCUUUCCUUCUUUAGUAAUCCUUUACUUCUACAUUUCUCUCCCCUUCUACGUUUCUCUCCUCAACCAGUCACUCACUUGGGUUUCUGAAUGGGGUGUUUUCAUUUUUUGUAUUUUUUUUUUAAUUUUUUUCUCAUUUUAAAUUUAAUCUUUCGAUAUCUAUCCUUUGCACCUAGUCACCAAUAGUAAUUUUUAUUUCAGGUCUGCAUGACUAUGAAUUUCUUGUGGUGUUUGUUUUAAUUUUUUUUUUUUUUUUUGGUUUUGAUUCUUUUUGGGUGAUUAUGUGUUGAUGAAUCAAUACAUACAAAUACAAAUGAAAGUUCUUUGUUUUUUGUUCAUGGUCUUAAAUUUCUUUAAUUCUCUUAAUUAAUUUUCUUUCUCCUUUUCACAUGAUUUGUUAGUUUCAUCUGUGGAUAAUUCAUCUCUCUACAUUUGGCAAAAUAGCCGAAUAUCCAUGCAGAUAAAGAGCAGUGCAAAAAGGCACACAAAGGAAAGAAACCGCGUCUUUUUUUAGAUAGCAUGUGAAAAGGGAGAGGGACAGAGGCAGAGCAGUUGAAAGGAUGACGCACAGAACUGUAAAUCUAUAGUCGGAAGGAAGCCAAAUAAACUAAAUAAGCUGCCCAGUAGAUCUACAGGGAAAUUACGAACUUUGAUGUAUUGUUAUGCAUUGUUUAUUUCUAUAUGAUACGCCAUAAAUUUCAAUUCAAUUGAGAAUGCUUAUCAUUUGAAGCCAAGUUCCAAGGUACUAGGU
rnacentral:misc_RNA from 1 species